rnacentral:sRNA from 1 species
GUGGGGCAUCGUGGCGCACGCCUGUAAUCCCAGCAUCUUGGGAGACUGAGGCAGGAGAAUUGCGAGUUCAAAGCCAGCCUCAGCAACAUGGAGGUGCUAAGCAACUCAGUGAGACCCUGUCUCUA